rnacentral:rRNA from 1 species
AACACGUGGACAACCUACCCUUGGGUUCGGCAUAAUCCUGGGAAACUGGGGAUAAUUCCGGAUAGGUCACAGAUGCUGGAAUGCACUGUGGCUCAAAGCUCCGGCGCCCAAGGAUGGGUCUGCGGCCUAUCAGGGUUGUAGUGGGUGUAAUGUACCUACUAGCCUACGACGGGUACGGGUUGUGAGAGCAAGAGCCCGGAGAUGGAUUCUGAGACACGAAUCCAGGCCCUACGGGGUGCAGCAGGCGCGAAAACUUUACAAUGCGGGAAACCGUGAUAAGGGAAUCUCGAGUGCCAGCAUAUAAUGUUGGCUGUCCAGAUGCCUAAAAAGCAUCUGUUAGCAAGGGCCGGGCAAGACCGGUGCCAGCCGCCGCGGUAACACCGGCGGCCCGAGUGGUAACCGCUAUUAUUGGGUCUAAAGGGUCUGUAGCCGGCCAGGUAAGUCCCUUGGGAAAUCUGGCAGCUCAACUGUCAGGCUGCUAGGGGAUACUGUUUGGCUUGGGACCGGGAGAGGUGAGAGGUACCUUGGG